rnacentral:rRNA from 1 species
CAGCAGCCGCGGUAAUACGUACCGGACAAACGUUAUUCGGAAUUACUGGGCUUAAAGAGUACGUAGGCGGCCUGUUAGGUUGGGUGUGAAAUCCCACAGCUCAACUGUGGAACUGCGCUCAAAACCACAAGGCUUGAGGGAGACAGGGGUAUGCGGAACUGAUGGUGGAGCGGUGAAAUGCGUUGAUAUCAUCAGGAACACCGGUGGCGAAGGCGGCAUACUGGGUCUCUUCUGACGCUGAGGUACGAAAGCUAGGGUAGCGAACGGGAUUAGAUACCCCGGUAGUCCUAGCUGUAAACGAUGAGCACUUGGUCGAGGGGACCUCCACAUCCUCUCGGCCGUAGCGAAAGUGUUAAGUGCUCCGCCUGGGGAGUAUGGUCGCAAGGCUAAAACUCAAAGGAAUUGACGGGGGCUCACACAAGCGGUGGAGGAUGUGGCUUAAUUCGAGGCUACGCGAAGAACCUUAUCCUGGUCUUGACAUGUUUAGGAAUCUUUCUGAAAGGAAAGAGUGCCUUCGGGAGCCUUUACACAGGUGCUGCAUGGCUGUCGUCAGCUCGUGUCGUGAGAUGUCGGGUUAAGUCCCUUAACGAGCGAAACCCUUAUCCUUAGUUGCCAGCGAGUAAUGUCGGGGACUCUAGGGAGACUGCCGGUGUUAAACCGGAGGAAGGUGGGGAUGACGUCAAGUCCUCAUGGCCUUUAUGACCAGGGCUGCACACGUCCUACAAUGCACUAUACAAAGGGAAGCAACCUCGCGAGAGCAAGCAAAUCCCAGAAAGUAGUGUCCAGUUCGGAUUGCAGGCUGCAACUCGCCUGCAUGAAGCCGGAAUCGCUAGUAAUCGUGGGUCAGCAUACCACGGUGAAUGUGUUCCUGAGCCUUGUACACACCGCCCGUCAAGCCACGAAAGUGGGGUGCGCCCGAAGUCGCUGUCGUAACUGUUUACAGAGCAAAGCGCCGAAGGUGAACUCCCGCGAUUGGGACUAAGUCGUAACAAGGUAACCGUA